rnacentral:rRNA from 1 species
UACGUAGGGGGCAAGCGUUGUCCGGAUUUAUUGGGCGUAAAGAGCUCGUAGGCGGUCUGUCGCGUCUGCUGUGAAAACUCAGGGCUUAACCCUGAGCUUGCAGUGGGUACGGGCAGACUAGAGUGCGGUAGGGGAGACUGGAAUUCCUGGUGUAGCGGUGAAAUGCGCAGAUAUCAGGAGGAACACCGGUGGCGAAGGCGGGUCUCUGGGCCGAUAUUGACGCUGAGACGCGAAAGCGUGGGGAGCAAACAGG